UGGGUUCAGUGGAUGACCCAUUGGAAUUGAAACCUAGUUUCUGCAGUGGUGGGUCCUUCCUACUGAUGAGCUGCUGGGGGACCUUCUUUAUAGCAGCCCAGGUGUCCCCAUGCUUCUCCUUGUACACCUUCCCAAAACAGCCCUGUGCAAGAGUGCCAGUGGAAAACGCCAUCUAGAAGUCGUGAGUGAGGGUUAAAAUUUUCUUGUGGAAUAUUUUUACUUAAUUGAGAAUUACACAAAUUCUCAAUUUGAAGAUUCAAGGUGAACAAGAUUCACCACACUGCUACUGAACCACAGCGCUACUGUUUUGGAGAUAUUUUUCAUCUGAUCUUCCUUUUUUUAGCAUGAAUGAAUGGAUGAAUCAGGUCAAGUUCCUUCAGCAAUCAGACUAUUAAAUGAAAGCGACAGUACAAAACAAAGGAUCUGAUGGUUCUUGGGCCAGGGCCACAAGCAACGGUAAUUCUUGUGCAACACUUGUAUGGUGCAAUAUAUUUUACUCCAUUAGUUGGUUUUAAUGCUGAUGCAGAGUUUGUGUCUCAGGGACCACGUAGUCCACUGUAUAUGAAGCAUUUGUCUGUUUUUACACAAGUGUGAGUGAGUGUAUGUGUUAGCGGGAGGGGAACGGUGACUGUAUAUUGUAUAGUUGUAUUUUUAUUCGUUUUAUUCGUUUUUAUUCUGCUUUGUGUACUUCUGCCCCUCGAGCCACUGAAAUUCUGUACCUGGGAUAAUAAAGUUUAUUAUGACCUUGAAUGAAACAGUCAACAGUCUGUCAGAGCUAAGAAUGUUCACAUGAGUGGAAAUAAGCAUUUUUGGAGAGGGAGUGUCUCCUCUUUGUUUUAAUCAACAGGGCAAUCCUAAGAAUUCUGUGUGACAUCGCCUUAUAAUCCACCUGAUCUGCCAUUUUGUUUCACUUGGUUGGAAGUAGUAUUUGAAUCGCUGAACAAAUCAGAGAUACCGUGUGGGAAGUGAUUCAGAGGUUUGGAACCAGGAUAUCCCGAAUCCUGAAGUAGCCUACAAAACAACUAACAUGAAUACAUAAUACAAGCAAGUUGCUGCUCAUCUCAGUGACUGCAACACAGUAAAUUAACCAUAAAUGAACCUGUCGUGUAAAUUAGAGCUCCUGUGCGCUGGUCUAAACAGAUGUGUUUGUCGUUUUGAGAUGUUUGACUUAAGAUUCAACUCUAGUCAGCAACUCUAGUUAAAAAGCUGACUAACCGGUAUUGUCCACAAGAGAAGAAGAGCUUGUCUCUCUAUUGCCUGGAAUAUGAAAUUGACACCAUGUAACAUAAACGCUUUAAAAAAGCGUCAUAUUUGAAUAUCCUUUGCAUAUAGCAUGAGAAUAAACAGUCACAGUAUCUGAAAGAGUAGAGACAGUCACCUUACAACAAUUAAAAUUCACAAAGGACAGACUUAAAUAUAAAAGUAUAAUAACAAGUGAACAUAUGAAAAGCUCAACACAAAAUACGUUCUGUUACAUAAAGGCAAUUUUGCUAUAAUCACAACACCCUAAAGUGCUAUAAUCUAGAUAAUCCAGAGCCAAAACAUUGGGCAGACUGGUUCAAAACAGGAAGGAAACAAAGAAUGAAAAUGUUAAUAGUAAUUUUAAUGCUACGCUACCUGACAAAUUUGUGGAUAAUAAGUGGAUAGAAAUCUACUCAGGUGCCUACCUUGUUGCUGUGGAGGGAAAAGCAGCUGCGUCAGGUCUGAACACGAGUUGACAUAGUUGUCUCCCUUUAUAGGCGUUCCACGCCUUCUCAUAUCUGGUGCAUGGCCCCGAGCAAGGCAGGCACACCUGACUGCUGCAGCAGAAUGAUUGGAACUGGAGGGUGAGAAACACAGCAAGAAAUACACCAUAAACUAGUGUCAUGCGAGAGCAGAAACUGUCUGAAAAACAGGAGGACAUGUGACUGUGUGGCUGCGGCUGCACUGAUGAAGCCAAGAUGAGGGUAAGGCCGUAAUCCCACUGGGAUUACCGUGAAAAUACAAUGACAGCAAAAGACCAUAAUCUAAUCUAAUAUGGUAGCUCUAAUACAGUGGUUAGUUAGACUGUACAGUAUGUCAGAACCAUGGAUGGAUUAUGAAACAAUGGGCCCCUGGCCAUAGACACUUAAAAGUCCCCUCUGCUGUGAGCGCCCCUGUGUUGUUUUGCAUCAGGAAGGCCAAAGGUGGUACACUGCUUUGGUUGAUACUGAAAUAUCUCAACAACCAUCAGAUGGAUCCCUGUCUUUUGUAUAUUUAUUCAUCUAUAUAAAUAUUUUUGGGGCUUUUUGUGUCUGUUUUAUAGAGACACAGUGGAGAUAUGAUAAGAAAUGAUGUAGGGAGAGAAAAGGGACGACAUGCAAAAAUGGUCCUUGGCUGGAUGCCGACUGAGGUGUAUGCUCAUAUAUGUAGAAUAUAAACCAUGUGUGAAAAUAGAGAUAUGGCUCAGAGGCCAUGGGUUGGGG